GGUCCGUUGGUCAAGGGGUUAAGCACCGCCUUUUCACGGCGGUAACACGGGUUCGAAUCCCGUACGGACUA
rnacentral:tRNA from 1 species